ACGAUCCAUAGCUGGUCUGAGAGGAUGAUCAGCCACAUUGGGACUGAGACACGGCCCAAACUCCUACGGGAGGCAGCAGUGGGGAAUAUUGGACAAUGGGCGCAAGCCUGAUCCAGCCAUGCCGCGUGAGUGAUGAAGGCCCUAGGGUUGUAAAGCUCUUUCACCGGUGAAGAUAAUGACGGUAACCGGAGAAGAAGCCCCGGCUAACUUCGUGCCAGCAGCCGCGGUAAUACGAAGGGGGCUAGCGUUGUUCGGAAUUACUGGGCGUAAAGCGCACGUAGGCGGAUUGUUAAGUGAGGGGUGAAAUCCCAGGGCUCAACCCUGGAACUGCCUUUCAUACUGGCAAUCUAGAGUCCAGAAGAGGUGAGUGGAAUUCCG
rnacentral:rRNA from 1 species